GAUGAACGCUGGCGGCGUGCUUAACACAUGCAAGUCGAACGGUGAAAGAGAGCUUGCUCUCUGGAUCAGUGGCGAGCGGGUGAGUAACACGUGAGCAAUCUGCCCCUGACUCUGGGAUAAGCGCUGGAAACGGCGUCUAAUACCGGAUACGAGCUGCGAAGGCAUCUUCAGCAGCUGGAAAGAACUUCGGUCAGGGAUGAGCUCGCGGCCUAUCAGCUAGUUGGUGAGGUAACGGCUCACCAAGGCGUCGACGGGUAGCCGGCCUGAGAGGGUGACCGGCCACACUGGGACUGAGACACGGCCCAGACUCCUACGGGAGGCAGCAGUGGGGAAUAUUGCACAAUGGGCGAAAGCCUGAUGCAGCAACGCCGCGUGAGGGACGACGGCCUUCGGGUUGUAAACCUCUUUUAGCAGGGAAGAAGCGAAAGUGACGGUACCUGCAGAAAAAGCACCGGCUAACUACGUG
rnacentral:rRNA from 1 species